CACAUUCAUUCACGCCUUACCUCCAUCUCUUCUCUUCUCUGUCACAUCCCUCUCCCUCACGGUUCAGCAGCAUCCCCAGCACCACCAGGCGACGCCUCCACCGUAGCCACCAGCAGCCACGGUAGCGCCUCCCUACCGGCAGCCAGCAGCCACCAACAGGCUGCGUUCGCCUCCUCACAGCAGCAGCAGUGGCUGCGUUCUCCCCCCACCAACAGCAGUUGAGCUGCACCUUAAACAACCACCAGCAGCGGCUGUGACGGAAAAUUUUGCAGCCUCCACCAUCACACAUACUCACCACCACCACACCAACUACUUGCCCCUUCACAUCUUCUCUUAUUCCCCCUUAUGGGUGGCCAUUUCAACACAUUGAACAAUGAACAUAUCUUCACCCAAUCUAUGACUACUUGUGAAUUGUUCUUUAUCCGUGUACCCAACUCCAAAAAAACCCUAAUUCCUUAACCCAUAAGUUUUGGAAUACAAAUUCAAGUUUCCGUGUCGUAUCCAAUGAUCUGGCCGUUUUCCUCCAGUUCUCCAACCUGUUUAUCAAGGUUCAUUGUGAAGCUGUCUAAUUGAAUGGCAAAAAGGGCCUAUCAGUGUUAUUACAAAAUUCUCCAAGCAUUUAUACGAGAAUUUAGCAGUGAGAAACUUCAGCCUGUCUUUGCUACAUUUAUAAAGAGAUACGGAUUAGUUAAACCAACGUUGGGGAAGAUGUUGGUGCAUUACUUGUGUAUGGAGAAUAAUAUAGGCAGCGCCCUUAGGCUCAUUAAUGAGUUGAAUAAGAGCAAUUUGAAGUUAAAUUUUUUAGUGGAUGUUUUCGGGAUGCUUACAGCACAAGGUAGACCUUUGGAUGCAUAUAGACUUGUCAUGGGUGCCCAAUAUGAUCUACCUAGUAUGGAUGUGGUUGAUUACUCAAUCCUCGUUGAUGGGCUCUGCAAAGAAGGGUACAUUGAUAAGGCCUUAGAAUUGUGUACUUUUGCCAGAAAGAAAGGAAUCCAGCUUACUGUUGUAACUUAUAACUCUCUUUUUAAUGGGUUAUGUCGUCAAAAUUGUCUUGUUCAGGCUUUUAGGCUCUUUGAUUCAUUGGAGAGGAAUAAGAUAAUUCCUUCUGAUAUUACAUACGGGACUCUUAUCGAUGCUCUGGUUAGAGAAGGCUUUUUGUUGGAUGCUCGGCAAUUAUUUGAGAGAAUGAUCAUCAAGGAUAUAAAACCAAAUACCCAUAUUUAUAAUUCUCUGAUUGAUGGAUACUGUAAAUUGGGAAACGUGAAAGAAGCAUUGAAACUUCUCUAUGAUUUGGAGAAUCACUCUCUUAAACCAGAGAAAUUCACUAUAAGUGCUAUGAUUUAUGGUUUUGCCUUAGAAGGAAAUUUGGAGGGUGCACUUCAAUUUUUUGUUAAUAUGAAAGGGAAUGGAUUUUCACCAGAUUUUUUGGGCUUUCUAUAUUUAGUAAGGGGUUUAUGCGCAAAGGGUAGAAUGGAAGAGGCAAGGAGUGUCAUAAGAGAAAUGCUUGAAGAUGAAUCUGUUCUACAGUUGUUAAAUAGAGUUAAUGAUGAAAUUGAAAUCGAUUCUAUUGAAAGCUUUAUUGUUCAAUUGUGUGAACAGGGGAAUAUCCAGGGUGCUCUUGUCAUUCUCAACGAAAUUGGAUCGAUGUAUUUCCCUUACAAGAGAAUUCCAACUUCUAGUGCACAAAUAAAUAUGGUAUCUUGUGAGGGAAAUGUUCAUACCCUUUCUCAUAAUGCUCUCCCCUCCAUCCGUGAAAUGGACUUUGAUGCUUUAUACUCGCAAAUGAACUCUCUUUGCUCCUUAGGUGAUCUCCAAGGAGCUACGGCACUAGCAAAGGCUAUGAUCUCUGGUAUUGAAAAAAUAUGAUGGCAUCAUAUUGACACCUGUCACAAGUUAAAAAGAUACAGAUCCUCUGGGUUUGGCCGUUAAUGUGAAGCAACACAACAUAUGAGCUACAGAUACAGAAGAGUUGGAGGAAGGAUAUCUUGAUGGACUAAAAGAAAUUCCGAGUUCAUAGGUGAUCAACAAAUAAAAGAUUUUCUACUGGUUUUUGAUAUAUGUUUUCAUGUGCUGUUUUGGUAUGAUAUGCUCUUUUCAGAUUGAAUUUUCUGCUGAUCUGGAUUCUAUUAUGCCUUUCUUGUGACUGCUAUAUCUGGUCCUUGAGACAUUAUUUGGUUUCGAGAGUGUGCAGGUUGUGAGUUUCCUACUGCUGGUGCACAAGCUGUUCUGUGGGAACUUGCAAACUACUGUUGUCUUGGCUUGUUUAGCUUUUAUGUAUACUCAGUAAGUAAGCUGUUAGGAGCUUGCUGUUGGCCUUGCAGUUUGCUUUUGGUUGGGUUUUGGUUAUGUUCUUUCGGCUUAUGUGCUUAGUUUUUGUUAGACGUUGACAGAAUAGGAUAUGGUGAAGGACAGUGGACCUCACGUCACUCUCAAACUUUGUGUCACAUGGUCAAUUGUAAAACAUCAUUGAUUGUUUUUAUUAAGAAUAAUUUGCAAAUUACAGCCUUAAAGUUUAAGAGUUUUGCGAAUUACAUUCUUCAUGUUUAUUUUUUACGAAUUACGGCCACCAAAUUAUCAAAUUCUACAGCGCUCAGGCCAAAUUACAGAAUUCCGACCACUUAACCUAAAAUUUCGACCACUAAAAGGGUCGGAAUUAUGUUAUUUGGCUUGAACGUUGUAGACUUUGAUACUUUUGUGGCUGUAGUUUUCAAAAGAUAUAUAUUGAGGCUGUAAUUUGCAAAUGUUCUAAACCUAAAGGGUGUAAUUUGCAAAUUAUUCUUUUAUUAAUAGAAAAACCUUUCCUUGUGUUUUUCACAAAUAGAAGCUAGAGAAGAAAUGUUGCAGCCUCUAGCAAUUAUCAGCUUAUCUGUGGUGAGAAGUCUGUCAUGAAUGCAAGCUAUUUAAUGGACCUAAAUUUUUGGAUAGUAACUCUAUUCCAGAUAUAGGAAUUCCAAUCAAUCUCAUGCUCAGCAGAAGUCUGCAAUCUAUACACUUCAUUGACCUGAUAACAGGAGGGGUAGGAAGAUCCCAGCAAUUGAGGUUCUUAAUGUACCUCUCAUCAACCCACUUAACCCACAUAGAUUCCUGAUUGCAAGCAAUACUCCAAACAUUCAUUCUAGCAGCACUGACAUUCCAUUUGUUGAUAUCUCUAACGCGUAAACCUCCAAGCUUCUUAGGAUAGCAAACAAGCUCCUAGUUAACAAGCCCGGGAGAUUUACUUUCGUGGGAACCAUGCUGCAAGAAAGAUCUACAAAUAUCCUUGAUUCUUUUCAUAAUAGCCUUAAAAAUGAUCAUUAUUUGGCAUCAGUAGCAAGUAAUGUUUAUUAGGAAAGCAUUGAUAAGGCAGCUAAGAGAAACACAUUUUCUACCAUAAUGUGACACGUUUUUGACGAAGCAUGACAUCAUUAAGGAUAUUUCUACCCUUCACAAAGGCACCUUGAUUAGGAGCAAUCAGAUCAUCAAGGACAAGGGAAAGUUUUUGUAAAAAUGAGCUUUGAAGUGCUUUUGCAAAUGAUAUUACUACAAGAUAUAGGCCUGAAGGAGCAAAACUAAGAGCUUUCACUUUAGGAAUGAAGAGUGCAUGCUUUUGUACUUAUAUCUGUUUUACUCAUAUCUAGAGCACACAUAAAUCUAUCUUCAAGGCACAAUUUACUUUGUGAUUUAUGCUAAUUAAGAUAUAGUAAUUGUAAUGAAAAUUUAGUAUCCGUUCUUAUCGAUUACCACUUGAAGAAGUAAUCAUGGGUGACGGAAAUUGUGAAGAAAAAAAAUAUUUUUGAAGAUA